UUCCCAGUCAACGAUGUAGUCGUAGUUGCCGACUGUUGCCACGGUCCUCACCACUAUGCCCACAUCUGCUCUAACCUCCCUCACCUGCACCGUGAAUCCAUUCCGAAUCUAUCAAAAUUGCAGAUAGCGUUGGAGAUCUUGAUAGGUGUGCCGUCUGGACCAGCGAUAUGGCCAUCUAUGAAAGCUGCAUUGAUCGGGCAAUCGGUUAGGGGCUCCAAUGGCGCUGCACAAUAACCGAACCCGUAUUCGCCGCUGUCUAAGUAGGUUUCAUCGAACCAUCCCUCACUAGGAUCCAUGUAAGAUUUGAGGCUGAGUUGUAGACUUGGAAGAGACUAUAAAUGACUCAUUGCCGCUAAUUCCUGGAUAUAUAGCUCAAUGCGUAUUCGCAUUGGAAGUUAUUGGAGAUACGUAGACAGUGAUUGCAAUGGACAUCUGGUUGUUCUGGAUUGAACCCCGAGAAAUUGGUUGGUCGAAGCCCACACAUUGUACUUGGUGAACGUAGAUCUUUCGCUAGAAGUGAACCUGCAGUUGAUCCCGGCUCUCAAGAACCAUGAAAGCAUGAUAGAAAACAAUUCACGGGUCUCUGAAUCUCUAUGGAGAUGAGUUACAAUGGACAGUCACAGAAUGUGUACUAAACAAACCGCCUGGCUAUGGUCAGGUUGCAAGUACAGUUAGGCC